GCUUGCUUCUCUUGAGAGCGGCGGACGGGUGAGUAAUGCCUAGGAAUCUGCCUGGUAGUGGGGGAUAACGUUCGGAAACGGACGCUAAUACCGCAUACGUCCUACGGGAGAAAGCAGGGGACCUUCGGGCCUUGCGCUAUCAGAUGAGCCUAGGUCGGAUUAGCUAGUUGGUGAGGUAAUGGCUCACCAAGGCGACGAUCCGUAACUGGUCUGAGAGGAUGAUCAGUCACACUGGAACUGAGACACGGUCCAGACUCCUACGGGAGGCAGCAGUGGGGAAUAUUGGACAAUGGGCGAAAGCCUGAUCCAGCCAUGCCGCGUGUGUGAAGAAGGUCUUCGGAUUGUAAAGCACUUUAAGUUGGGAGGAAGGGUUGUAGAUUAAUACUCUGCAAUUUUGACGUUACCGACAGAAUAAGCACCGGCUAACUCUGUGCCAGCAGCCGCGGUAAUACAGAGGGUGCAAGCGUUAAUCGGAAUUACUGGGCGUAAAGCGCGCGUAGGUGGUUUGUUAAGUUGGAUGUGAAAUCCCCGGGCUCAACCUGGGAACUGCAUUCAAAACUGACUGACUAGAGUAUGGUAGAGGGUGGUGGAAUUUCCUGUGUAGCGGUGAAAUGCGUAGAUAUAGGAAGGAACACCAGUGGCGAACGCGACCACCUGGACUAAUACUGACACUGAGGUGCGAAAGCGUGGGGAGCAAACAGGAUUAGAUACCCUGGUAGUCCACGCCGUAAACGAUGUCAACUAGGCCGUUGGCAGGCCUUGA
rnacentral:rRNA from 1 species